GGCCUUGACAUACUAAGAACUUUCCAGAGAUGGAUUGGUGCCUUCGGGAACUUAGAUACAGGUGCUGCAUGGCUGUCGUCAGCUCGUGUCGUGAGAUGUUGGGUUAACGUCCGCAACGAGCGCAACCCUUUUCCUUAUUUGCCAGCGGGUAAUGCCGGGAACUUUAAGGAUACUGCCAGUGACAAACUGGAGGAAGGCGGGGACGACGUCAAGUCAUCAUGGCCCUUACGGCCAGGGCUACACACGUGCUACAAUGGUCGGUACAAAGGGUUGCUACCUCGCGAGAGGAUGCUAAUCUCAAAAAGCCGAUCGUAGUCCGGAUCGCAGUCUGCAACUCGACUGCGUGAAGUCGGAAUCGCUAGUAAUCGCGGAUCAGAAUGCCGCGGUGAAUACGUUCCCGGGCCUUGUACACACCGCCCGUCACACCAUGGGAGUUUGUUGCACCAGAAGUAGGUAGUCUAACCACAAGGAGGACGCUUACCACGGUGUGGCCGAUGACUGGGGUGAAGUCGUAACAAGGUAAGCGUAGAUGA
rnacentral:rRNA from 1 species